AUGCAAGGUCGAGCGGAUGAGAGGAGCUUGCUCCUUGAUUUAGCGGCGGACGGGUGAGUAAUGCCUAGGAAUCUGCCCGGUAGUGGGGGAUAACGUUCCGAAAGGAACGCUAAUACCGCAUACGUCCUACGGGAGAAAGCAGGGGACCUUCGGGCCUUGCGCUAUCGGAUGAGCCUAGGUCGGAUUAGCUAGUUGGUGAGGUAAAGGCUCACCAAGGCGACGAUCCGUAACUGGUCUGAGAGGAUGAUCAGUCACACUGGAACUGAGACACGGUCCAGACUCCUACGGGAGGCAGCAGUGGGGAAUAUUGGACAAUGGGCGAAAGCCUGAUCCAGCCAUGCCGCGUGUGUGAAGAAGGUCUUCGGAUUGUAAAGCACUUUAAGUUGGGAGGAAGGGCAGUAAGUUAAUACCUUGCUGUUUUGACGUUACCGACAGAAUAAGCACCGGCUAACUUCGUGCCAGCAGCCGCGGUAAUACGAAGGGUGCAAGCGUUAAUCGGAAUUACUGGGCGUAAAGCGCGCGUAGGUGGUUCGUUAAGUUGGAUGUGAAAGCCCCGGGCUCAACCUGGGAACUGCAUCCAAAACUGGCGAGCUAGAGUACGGUAG
rnacentral:rRNA from 1 species